AACGCACAUUGCGCCCGCCAGCAUCCUGGCGGGCAUGCCUGUCCGAGCGUCAUUUCGACCCCUCAAGCCACAGCGCUUGGUGUUGGGGCCCCACGGCUGCCCGUGGCCCCCGGAAACCAGUGGCGGCGGCCCUCGCGGCGCCGGGCGUAGUAGAAUACCUCGCCCCGGCGGCCGCGGCGCCUGCCCGCCGUGAAACGAACCACCCCCCGGGUGGACAGACCGGUUGACCUCGGAUCAGGUAGGAAUACCCGCUGAACUUAA
rnacentral:misc_RNA from 1 species